GGUUAAGCGACUAAGCGUACACGGUGGAUGCCCUGGCAGUCAGAGGCGAUGAAGGACGUGCUAAUCUGCGAUAAGCGUCGGUAAGGUGAUAUGAACCGUUAUAACCGGCGAUUUCCGAAUGGGGAAACCCAGUGUGUUUCGGCACACUAUCAUUAACUGAAUCCAUAGGUUAAUGAGGCGAACCGGGGGAACUGAAACAUCUAAGUACCCCGAGGAAAAGAAAUCAACCGAGAUUCCCCCAGUAGCGGCGAGCGAACGGGGAGGAGCCCAGAGCCUGAAUCAGUGUGUGUGUUAGUGGAAGCGUCUGGAAAGGCGUGCGAUACAGGGUGACAGCCCCGUACACAAAAAUGCACAUACUGUGAGCUCGAUGAGUAGGGCGGGACACGUGGUAUCCUGUCUGAAUAUGGGGGGACCAUCCUCCAAGGCUAAAUACUCCUGACUGACCGAUAGUGAACCAGUACCGUGAGGGAAAGGCGAAAAGAACCCCGGCGAGGGGAGUGAAAAAGAACCUGAAACCGUGUACGUACAAGCAGUGGGAGCCUCUUAAUGGGGUGACUGCGUACCUUUUGUAUAAUGGGUCAGCGACUUAUAUUCUGUAGCAAGGUUAACCGAAUAGGGGAGCCGAAGGGAAACCGAGUCUUAACUGGGCGUUAAGUUGCAGGGUAUAGACCCGAAACCCGGUGAUCUAGCCAUGGGCAGGUUGAAGGUUGGGUAACACUAACUGGAGGACCGAACCGACUAAUGUUGAAAAAUUAGCGGAUGACUUGUGGCUGGGGGUGAAAGGCCAAUCAAACCGGGAGAUAGCUGGUUCUCCCCGAAAGCUAUUUAGGUAGCGCCUCGUGAAUUCAUCUCCGGGGGUAGAGCACUGUUUCGGCAAGGGGGUCAUCCCGACUUACCAACCCGAUGCAAACUGCGAAUACCGGAGAAUGUUAUCACGGGAGACACACGGCGGGUGCUAACGUCCGUCGUGAAGAGGGAAACAACCCAGACCGCCAGCUAAGGUCCCAAAGUCAUGGUUAAGUGGGAAACGAUGUGGGAAGGCCCAGACAGCCAGGAUGUUGGCUUAGAAGCAGCCAUCAUUUAAAGAAAGCGUAAUAGCUCACUGGUCGAGUCGGCCUGCGCGGAAGAUGUAACGGGGCUAAACCAUG
rnacentral:rRNA from 1 species